rnacentral:lncRNA from 1 species
CUGCCGCGCGAUCGCGCCACUUGUCAGCUCACUGGAAAAGGACGCACCAGAUUCCGCACCAUUUAGGCUUACAGCGUGCGCAACCGCACCGGAUCACGUCUUCAGCAGAAAAGACAAAAAAGGGGUCCCAGCUCCCUACUUCGCGCACAUGUGAUUAAGGUGUACAUCACCCAUGUGCACCACCAGAUUGGAAUCUGACGCCAGGAAUUGAGAGG